rnacentral:sRNA from 1 species
AGUACAAUGGCAUAAGGGCGGUCGGCUAAUCUCCCGGAAGGGAGGUAAUGCUAAUGGAGGUACACCAAGCUUUGACGUUAAUGAUUUCAUUUGCGACUUUGGUUGUGUUGAUACUUUCUUUCCAUAAAAGGAAAUAGACCGCCCCGGUAAGGAUUCGGUCUAUUUUUGAUCACCUUGCCAGCCAACCGCUCUUAUAGCGGAUUGUACUCUGGAGUCGUGUUAGCGCACGGCUC